AUGUGGGAGACCCUGGGCGCGCGCGGCCGCGGCCACCAAACUGUUGCGCGCGCUGUCCUUCGGCGGGACCCGGACCCAGGGAGCUGUGGCCCGUGCACCGGAGGAAAGUAGGAAAGGGGACGCUUGUGAACCCCGAGAACUGGCGAUCUUGAAAAGGCUUGUCAGGGUGACCUUGGUCAGGCUACUAAUGUAAACUGCGGCAGAAGGACAUCGGUAUUUAUUCCAGCAGUUUUCUUUUGCAACCUGAAAAGUGAACUUGGGUCACGUGGCUAAUACGCACUUUCCCUCCUCUUUCUGCGUCUGCAUCCUGCUUGGAAAAUCCCUGAACCUAGAAGAUCUGAGUCUUCUGUCAAAUGUGCAAACACCGGGCGGCUUCUCAACACGAGGGAGGAUCCGCCCCUUCUUUCUCCCCAGCUCGGAGAAUGGAGUUCUUGCCCUGGAUAGCGUCAAUCAAAUGUGUUCAAGGUUGGUCAGGAAAUUUUAAGAAAGGAAAAAUAAAUGCCCAUUAGUCCUGUUUAUCUGCUCCUCCCCCACGAUCAGUGAAAAUGUUCACAGUUGUCUCAAGAUGCCAGUUUGCUGCCUACUGAAAAAGUAGUUCACUGGGCAUGGUGGCACGUGCCUGUAAUCCCAGCACACUGAGAAGCUGAGGUAGGAUCGCUGUGAGUUCUAAACCAGCCUGAGGCUACAUAGUGAGUUCCAGGUCAGCCUGGGCUAGAGCAAGGCCCUGGAGAAGAUGGACCAAAAAAAAAGUUCAGUAGGUUGGCUCUGUGGGCUUGUAUUUUAGGAUGGGCUUGCUAUUUAAACAAAGCUAGCCUGGAACUCAACUCAGCUGUGUGUGUUUGGAAGAAAAAAGGAAUGACUAAAAUCCAUUUGAGAAAGAGCUGGAUGUGGUGACAUACACCUUUAAUCCCAACACUCAGGAAGCAAAGGUAGGAUCACUGUGAGUUCAAGGCCACCCUGAAACUACAGAGUGAAUUCCAGGUCAGCCUGGGCUAGAGUGGGAUUCUACCUCGGAAAAAAAAAAUAAUUGUAAGUGGAUAGUUACUGUAAAAGUAUUGAAUGAAGCCGGGGAUGGUGGCACACACCUUUAAUCC